UCUUACAGAUGAGCAAAGAAAGUGGUUUCUUGAGAUGGAAUCUACUUCUGGUGAAGAGGCUGGGAA
rnacentral:pre_miRNA from 1 species